UGUAAAGUCUCUCAUCGGGAGCUGAUGCAC
rnacentral:piRNA from 1 species